rnacentral:rRNA from 1 species
AACGAACGCUGGCGGCAGGCCUAACACAUGCAAGUCGAGCGAGACCUUCGGGUCUAGCGGCGGACGGGUUAGUAACGCGUGGGAACGUGCCCUUUGCUACGGAAUAGUCCCGGGAAACUGGGUUUAAUACCGUAUACGCCCUUUUGGGGAAAGAUUUAUCGGCGAAGGAUCGGCCCGCGUUGGAUUAGGUAGUUGGUGGGGUAACGGCCUACCAAGCCGACGAUCCAUAGCUGGUUUGAGAGGAUGAUCAGCAACACUGGGACUGAGACACGGCCCAGACUCCGACGGGAGGCAGCAGUGGGGAAUCUUAGACAAUGGGGGCAACCCUGAUCUAGCCAUGCCGCGUGAGUGAUGAAGGCCUUAGGGUUGUAAAGCUCUUUCAGCUGGGAAGAUAAUGACGGUACCAGCAGAAGAAGCCCCGGCUAACUCCGUGCCAGCAGCCGCCGUAACAC